UUGUGUUAUGGAAAACUUUAUUAUAUAGAGAGAUCACAUCCCGACCUGCGUGUCGACACUAUAUUAAUGAAUUGACCAAAAUUAACUUCAUGUUAACCACUUCCUCUUGAACAUCUUAAACUUGUGUUAUGGAAAACUUUAUUAGGGGGAGAAUUAUAAUCACCACUAUUCUGAUAUUGUUCCCUUUGCUUUUUGAUCCACC
rnacentral:lncRNA from 1 species